ACUCCUACGGGAGGCAGCAGUGGGAAGUAUUGCACAAUGGCAGGCAGCCAUGCAUGCAGCCAUGCCGCGUGUGUGAAGAAGGCCUUCGGGUUGUAAAGCACUUUCAGUUGUGAGGAAGGUGGUGUCGUUAAUAGCGGCAUCAUUUGACGUUAGCAACAGAAGAAGCACCGGCUAACUCCGUGCCAGCAGCCGCGGUAAUACGGAGGGUGCGAGCGUUAAUCGGAAUUACUGGGCGUAAAGCGCAUGCAGGUGGUUUGUUAAGUCAGAUGUGAAAGCC
rnacentral:rRNA from 1 species